UCUCUCCUUUCCCACUCAGCCCCUCACCCCGACUCCCCUCUCUCUUCCUCCCGCCCCUCUCGCCGCCAUGCCUCCGCCUGCUGCAGCCGUCGCUGGUCUCGCGCCUCCCUCAGCCGCCGUCGCCUAUGCCUGUCCCGCGCCUCCCUCCGCCGCUCGCGCCGCCGCUUCCCCGUCGAGCUUCACGUCCUCGGGAGGAGAGGAAGCUAGCACUGCUCUUCCCGAGGGACGCGCCGUCGUGCCAUCGACAGGAGACGGCCAGGCAGAGCGCGCCGUCGCCACCGGCUGGCGCGUCGAUGGGAGGAGGCCAGGGUUAGGGUGCUCUCCUCCUCGCGCCUGUGGAUCUCCUGGCGCUGCGGGCUGCCGGAGCUGAAGCUUCUCCUCGCGCCGCAGCUGCCGGGCUCAAAUCUCCUGCACCUUGCAUCGCCGGCUGAUUGACUCAGAGCUCAUCCACCUCGCGCCCCCGAGCACUACUGCUUCCUCCUCCCUCGAUCUGAUCCUGCAACCUCCUGGUCAGCAGUGUCAUGGAGCCGGAUGAGGUCUCCCACCGUGUAGCUUGGAUGGAAUCUCCAGCAGAUCAGUGGCCAGAAUGACAUGCAGUAAAUGGUUCAGGUUUGAGCAAGGAAUGCAAAACUCUAGGAUUGAGCCCGUGCUGGUCUAUAUUUUAUAUUGGUUUUUGCACCCUGCAGCCAGUGAUUCAUGGAUCGUUUUGAGCUGGUGAGCGACUUGCACUUCUUGAAUCUACUAACAAACCAGCAAAGGUGCACAUCCAUGCAAACCAGAUUGAGCAUAAGACACUGGCUGAGCUCUGUGCAAUGAGACCAUACCGGUUUUGCUUGAAGGUUUCGGAUGCACUGUUGUCAUAAAAAUAUGGUCCCUGUGGAGUCAUGGUGGUUUGUUGCCUGCAAUAGAUGUGGCAAAAAAUCUUUGCCACAUGGAGCUGGCUACUACUGCACUGCAUGUGGAUACAGAGGAAAGAAGUUUAGAAAAUACCAAAGGAAGACUCGUGGGAGUAUGGUUUGGCGAGCAGAGCUUUACUAGGACUGAGUAUGACGAACAAGCAUGGAGGCAAGAAAUUUCUUCUGAAAAUAGGCCUUGAGGACCAGGAGUCCAGGACCGUGAGACUCUUUUGGUACUGUUUCUUGGCAGUGACAGGUCGCUGUCUAUCAUCUCUCUCUCUCUGGCUGCCCCUCCUUCCAUUGACUUGGCAUGCUGGUCACCGCUGUGUCUCCCGAUGGCUCGUCCCUCGCCAUCGUCGGGAGGGUCGUGUGGGCCGUUCUACAUUGGAAUCCAUAUAACUUUGAAAAGGUCACCACUGUGCCGUCUCUCUCUCUCUCUCUCUCUGACCGCCCCUCCCAUCGUCUUGGUUUGCUGGUUGCCGCUGUGUCCCCUGCCGGUUCGCCCGUCGCCAUCGCUAGAAGGGUCGUGUAGGCCGCCGCUUAUGCCACUGCUCUGCAGUGACCAGUGAGGACCAUGGCAUCGAGACAGCCCAAAAGGGAAACACCGCCGGCCACAGCGCCGGUGGACCCUGUCUGCCGGCAACUGGAUACCGCCGCCGCGGCCACUGCUGUUAUCGCCCUCCCUGCCACCCCACGCUACCCUGCCAAACAGGCCCAGCUUGCAGGCACUGUCAACCUGAUGGAUGGUGAUGAUUUAAUAGUCAAGGGGCUUCCACAGGAUGCGUAGAUAGAGAUGACAUUGCUCAAAGGAAAGAUACCGUACAUGGCCGUGUUGAAGGAGUUGUGGCCUCUUGUCUCUGCCUCAAAUGUCGAUGAUGCCUCUAUGUACUAUCACUCCUAUGCCCUUUUUAUUUUGUUUGUUCAGUGAAUGUUGGAAUAAACGAUUUAUUCAGCUGGAUCUAUACAACUAUGAACUAUUUGUGCAAUCUUUUAUUUAAGCUUUGAAAUGAGGGAAUUAAAUGUUGGGUUUGGGCAAUGUCCUUCCAUGUUUUUUGUUGGUGUUCGAUUAUUGGUAUGAAUCUCCUUG
rnacentral:rRNA from 1 species